rnacentral:rRNA from 1 species
GUCUUAACUUACCAAACAAGGGCCCUAACGUAGUGAUCUAUGAUUGGGGUG